CAGAGAUGACAUAGCUGAAAAAAAAAACUAUAGCCCAAUAUCCCUCAUGAUCAUAGAUGCAAAAGACCUUGACAAAAUUUUAACUAACUGAAUCCA